UGGGGAAUAUUGGACAAUGGAGGAAACUCUGAUCCAACAAUUCUGUGUGUGUGAAGAAGGUUUUAGGACUGUAAAACACUUUUAGUAGGGAAGAAAAAAAUGACGGUACCUACAGAAGAAGCAACGGCUAAAUACGUGCCAGCAGCCGCGGUAAUACGUAUGUUGCGAGCGUUAUCCGGAAUUAUUGGGCUUAAAGGGCAUCUAGGCGGUAAGACAAGUUGAAGGUGAAAACCUGUGGCUCAACCAUAGGCUUGCCUACAAAACUGUUGAACUAGAGUGCUGGAAAGGUGGUGGAACUACACGAGUAGAGGUGAAAUUCGUAGAUAUGUGUAGGAAUGCCGAUGAUGAAGAUAACUCACUGGACAGAAACUGACGCUGAAGUGCGAAAGCUAGGGGAGCAAACAGG
rnacentral:rRNA from 1 species